rnacentral:rRNA from 1 species
UGAACGCUGGCGGCGUGCUUAACACAUGCAAGUCGCACGAGAACGCUUCGGCUUGCCGGAGCAAGUACAGUGGCGCACGGGUGAGUAACGCGUGGGUAAUCUACCUUCGACUCAGGGAUAACCCUUCGAAAGGGGGGCUAAUACCGGAUAAUAUCCAAGAAUCUUCGGACGACUGGAUCAAAGGUGGCCUCUACAUGUAAGCUACCGAUUGAAGAUGAGUCCGCGUACCAUUAGCUAGUUGGCGGGGUAAAGGCCCACCAAGGCGACGAUGGUUAGCUGGUCUGAGAGGAUGAUCAGCCACACUGGAACUGACACACGGUCCAGACUCCUACGGGAGGCAGCAGUGAGGAAUUUUGCGCAAUGGGGGAAACCCUGACGCAGCAACGCCGCGUGAGUGAUGAAGGCUUUCGGGUCGUAAAGCUCUGUCAAGUGGGAAGAACCUGUCUAUGGUUAAUAUCUUUAGGCACUGACGGUACCACUGAAGGAAGCACCGGCUAACUCC